AAAGAAAGCGUAAUAGCUCACUGGUCGAGUCGGCCUGCGCGGAAGAUGUAACGGGGCUAAACCAUGCACCGAAGCUGCGGCAGCGACACUCAGGUGUUGUUGGGUAGGGGAGCGUUCUGUAAGCCUGUGAAGGUGGCCUGUGAGGGUUGCUGGAGGUAUCAGAAGUGCGAAUGCUGACAUAAGUAACGAUAAAGCGGGUGAAAAGCCCGCUCGCCGGAAG
rnacentral:rRNA from 2 species